AUGCAUCUCUCUUUAUAUCGUAGACUUGAUUUGAAUAAGUUGACACCUACUAAAAUAUCUUUCCAAAUGGCUGACAAAUCAACUGCUAUACCUGUCGGUAUUUGUGAGGAUGUGCCUGUUGUGGUUGCAAACGUUACUAUUUUAACAAACUUUGUUAUUCUUGAUAUUCCCGAGGAUGAUAGUAUGUCUAUUAUUCUUGGAAGACCCUUUUUGAAUAUUGCAGGGGCUGUUAUUGAUUGCACCAAAGGCAAUGUCACUUUUCAUGUUAAUGGUAAUGAGCAUACGGUACACUUUUCGAGGAAACAACCUCAAGUCCACAAUAUUAAUUCUAUUGGAAAAUUUUCAACAAUCACUAUUGGAGGUUAUGAAUUUCCUCUUCCUACUGUCAAGAAGAAAUACGAUAUUCUUAUUGUUGGGGAUGUGCAUAUCCCCGUUGGGGUAACCUAG
rnacentral:rRNA from 1 species